rnacentral:snoRNA from 1 species
UUGCCUAAUGAAAUCAGUGUUUUACUCUUCUAUUAAAGAAAUUGACUGUGUGGAUAGCAUGCUAUGUACAAUAAAUGAGAAGGUAUUUUUAGGGCUGCUGACUUUUUAGUUGAGGUUAUGUGGCAGUGUAUUUCUUCUACAUUA